rnacentral:rRNA from 1 species
CGGGGAGCAGCAGGCGCGAAACCUUUACACUGCACGACAGUGCGAUAGGGGGACACCGAGUGCGAGGGCAUACAGUCCUCGCUUUUCUGGACUGUAAGGAGGUCCAGGAACAAGUGCUGGGCAAGACCGGUGCCAGCCGCCGCGGUAAUACCGGCAGCACGAGUGACGGCCGAUAUUAUUGGGCCUAAAGCGUCCGUAGCUGGCCGGGCAAGUCCGUUGGGAAAUCCACGUGCUUAACGCGUGGGCGUCCAGCGGAAACUGUCCGGCUUGGGGCCGGAAGACCCGAGGGGUACGUCCGGGGUAGGAGUGAAAUCCCGUAAUCCUGGACGGACCGCCGGUGGCGAAAGCGCCUCGGGAGGACGGACCCGACAGUGAGGGACGAAAGCCAGGGUCUCGAACCGGAUUAGAUACCCGGGUAGUCCUGGCCGUAAACGAUGUCUGCUAGGUGUGGCGCAGGCUACGAGCCUGCGCUGUGCCGUAGGGAAGCCGUGAAGCAGACCGCCUGGGAAGUACGUCCGCAAGGAUGAAACUUAAAUGAAUUGACGG